rnacentral:rRNA from 1 species
GUGGUUUAAUUCGAUGAUACGCGAGGAACCUUACCUGGGCUAGAACGCAGAAUGACAGAUGCCGAAAGGUGUUUUCCCAGCAAUGGGCAUUUUGCGAGGUGCUGCAUGGUUGUCGUCAGCUCGUGCCGUGAGGUGUCGGGUUAAGUCCCAUAACGAGCGCAACCCCUAUUGUUAGUUGCCAGCGGGUAAUGCCGGGAUCUCUAACGAAACUGCCGGUGUAAACCGGAGGAAGUGGGGAUGACGUCAAAUCAGCACGGCCCUUAUGUCCAGGGCUACACACGUGUUACAAUGGCCGAUACAACGGGCAGCCACCUGGUGACAGGGAGCUAAUCCUAAAAGUCGGUCUCAGUUCGGAUCGAAGUCUGCAACCCGACUUCGUGAAGCUGGAUUCGCUAGUAAUCGCAGAUCAGCCAUGCUGCGGUCGAAUACGUUCCCGGGCCUU